CGCUCUACUGCUGCUGUGCCUGAGCGCUUUGGAACCUUCUCCAUCAGCACGUGCUCUGGUGCUCAACCAACAGCCGAGGCAGGGAAGCCUGGAUUUCACCAGCUCUGCGCCUCUCAAGAGCAGAGCACUGCACACAACUGAAAACGGAGGCCGCUUCUCGUGCAGUUCAAGAACGGAAAGCCACAGCUCAAGCUGUAACUGCUCAGUAAUGGAUGUUCUACCCUUGACAAUAUGGCUCCACAACAGCGCGGGUGUUUGCGUCUAAUUCAGAUCCUCAGACUCCUCGUAGAUUUGUUCUUUAUGCCCCUAUGAACUGCAAGCAAAGAGAAGAGCAAUUUGAUCAAGGCUGUGUGUAUUCGAUUCCUGGGCUACUAGAACAAAGUACCACGCACUAGGAGGCUAAAAGAAAAGAAAUGCAUUGUGUUAAACUCUGGAGGCCUGACGUGCAAGGGUUGCCAACAGGACUCUUCUAGCUUCUAGUGUUCUUCUGGGAUUCACUGGUGUUCCUUCUCCUGAAGAAUGUAUUACUCCGAUUCUUGCCUUCAUUGCCGCAUGGUGGUCUUCUUCUGCAGGUGAUUGCCUGUGCACAUGCUUCCACGAGGAUGUCACCAGAGCUAAGCAGAGUCGGACACCUUACCCCUGUGUCUCAGACCUGUGAACUAAAUAAGCUUUGGAAGGCUUUGAAAAUCAAGUGUCAGCAUCAGGUAUUUUGUUACAGCAGCACAGGAUGGAUUAAGAUGCUACAUUUCAAGUGUUUAUAAUGUGUACUCUGGCUCUCAAAACUUUGUCAGGCCUGGAGAAAGGACACAAUAAAUAGCUGUUGAAUGUA